rnacentral:rRNA from 1 species
UACAGAGGGUGCAAGCGUUAAUCGGAAUUACUGGGCGUAAAGCGUGCGUAGUCGGUCAUUUAAGUCGGGUGUGAAAUCCCCGGGCUCAACCUGGGAAUUGCGAUGGAGACUGCAAGGCUAGAAUCUGGCAGAGGGGGGUAGAAUUCCACGUGUAGCAGUGAAAUGCGUAGAGAUGUGGAGGAACACCGAUGGCGAAGGCAGCCCCCUGGGUCAAGAUUGACGCUCAUGCACGAAAGCGUGGGGAGCAAACAGG